UUAGAAUGUUGUAGAAACUUGAACAAAACAGAUCUUCUCUGAUUAUGGAAGCUAAGCAGGGUCAGGCCUGGUUUGUACUUGGGCGAGAGACCACCAGGGAAUACCUGAGAAUUUCUAAG
ensembl:rRNA 5S_rRNA 5S ribosomal RNA